rnacentral:rRNA from 1 species
AUGAGUUGCGAACGGGUGAGUAACGCGUAGGUAACCUGCCUGGUAGCGGGGGAUAACUAUUGGAAACGAUAGCUAAUACCGCAUAAUAGUAGAUGUUGCAUGACAUUUGCUUAAAAGGUGCAAUUGCAUCACUACCAGAUGGACCUGCGUUGUAUUAGCUAGUUGGUGAGGUAACGGCUCACCAAGGCGACGAUACAUAGCCGACCUGAGAGGGUGAUCGGCCACACUGGGACUGAGACACGGCCCAGACUCCUACGGGAGGCAGCAGUAGGGAAUCUUCGGCAAUGGACGGAAGUCUGACCGAGCAACGCCGCGUGAGUGAAGAAGGUUUUCGGAUCGUAAAGCUCUGUUGUAAGAGAAGAACGAGUGUGAGAGUGGAAAGUUCACACUGUGACGGUAUCUUACCAGAAAGGGACGGCUAACUACGUGCCAGCAGCCGCGGUAAUACGUAGGUCCCGAGCGUUGUCCGGAUUUAUUGGGCGUAAAGGGCUCGUAGGUGGUUGAUCGCGUCGGAAGUGUAAUCUUGGGGCUUAACCCUGAGCGUGCUUUCGAUACGGGUUGACUUGAGGAAGGUAGGGGAGAAUGGAAUUCCUGGUGGAGCGGUGGAAUGCGCAGAUAUCAGGAGGAACACCAGUGGCGAAGGCGGUUCUCUGGGCCUUUCCUGACGCUGAGGAGCGAAAGCGUGGGGAGCGAACAGGAUUAGAUACCCUGGUAGUCCACGCUGUAAACGAUGUCGAUUUG